rnacentral:rRNA from 1 species
GGACUACAAGGGUAUCUAAUCCUGUUUGCUCCCCUAGCUUUCGCGCCUCAGCGUCUGGCUUAGCACAGAAAACCGUCUUCACCACCGGUAUUCUUCCACAUAUCUACGCAUUUCACCGCUACACGUGGAAUUCUGUUUUCCCUUACUAGCCACUAGCCUAUUAGUUUCAAAUGCAGCUCCGGGGUUGAGCCCCGGAAUUUCACAUCUGACUUAAUUGGCCGCCUACGCGCCCUUUACGCCCAGUCAUUCCGAUCAAUGCUUGCACCCUCCGUAUUACCGCGGCUGCUGGCAC